UAAGGUUUUGGUUGGGCAUUAUAACGAUUAGGUUUGGAUGAUAAUUGGGAUUUAGACGGGCAGCAUUAUGGCUUAGGGUGGUCAGUAUUUGGGGUUUUAGGAUGGAUGACAUAUCGGCUAUGCUGAGAUGAUAUCUGGGAUUUAACUUGGGCAGCACAACAGCUGCAUGACAGAAUAGACCAGAGGAUUGGAUAGAUCCUUAAGAGUUGGGGGGUCACUAGGGUUUAUGGAAUGAGACAAGGGCUAGGAUAAAGAAGACUUGCAUGGCGGUACUCAUCACCCGAGGCUUACCCCUACGACAAGUGGAGCUGGUCAAGUUUCCUUGUCCUAGGAUAAGAGUAGAACUUAAAAGCUUGAACAACGAAUGAUCUGUCUCAAUGCGGCGAUAAGCGUUCUUGGCAAGAUUAAGUGGAAUAGAAGCCAGAGAGCUUGCUUGACGGACUCUCUUUGACCACUAGGGUGGAGCCGAGCAAGAUCAAGCGAAAUGGAAGCGGAUGCUAGAGAGCUUGCACAACAAAUAUCUUAGGCCGGUGCUAGUGAUGAGGACAUCAACACCAAGGAUACAUCCACGCCGACACGAGUACUAGUUUCUACGCUGACACAAGUACUAGUUUCUGGUC
rnacentral:lncRNA from 1 species